rnacentral:rRNA from 1 species
GACGAACGCUGGCGGCGUGCUUAACACAUGCAAGUCGAACGGUAAGGCCCUUCGGGGUACACGAGUGGCGAACGGGUGAGUAACACGUGGGUGAUCUGCCCUGCACUUCGGGAUAAGCCUGGGAAACUGGGUCUAAUACCGGAUAGGACCACUGCCUGCAUGGGGGGUGGUGGAAAGCUUUUGCGGUGUGGGAUGGGCCGGCGGCCUAUAGGCUUGUUGGUGGGGGGAUGGCCUAGCAAGGCGACGACGGGUAGCCGGUCUGAGAGGGUGACCGGCCACACUGGGACUGAGAUACGGCCCAGACUCCUACGGGAGGCAGCAGUGGGGAAUAUUGCACAAUGGGCGCAAGCCUGAUGCAGCGACGCCGCGUGAGGGAUGACGGCCUUCGGGUUGUAAACCUCUUUCAGCACCGACGAAGCGCAAGUGACGGUAGGUGCAGAAGAAGGACCGGCCAACUACGUGCCAGCCGCCGCCGUAA